AUGGCGGCUGAGGCGUUGAGGGCUAGGCGCCCCGUGUCCUCCUGCGGGCAGGUGGAGACGCACGGCCGGGCCCGGGGAGCCGCCGAGGCCCUGUGCAGCCGGUGUGGAAGAAGGGCGCCCAGAGCUCUGGGUCACCACCAUGAACUUCACUGUGGACAUACUUUUUGUGACCUGUGCUUAUUAAUGACUGAAGAAUACAGCACAAUCACAUGCCCUGAUUGUGAGGUUGCUACAACUAUAAAUACAAAACAAAAAUACUGCCCAAUAGAUGGAUGUAUUAAAGAAGAUUCAUUUAUGGAAAAAAUGCAGCCUAAAAAGAUGAGGAAUUGUUCUCAGGACUUUGAAAAGACUGCUCAUCAACAAACUGUUGGUUUAGAACAUUCAGCCUCCACACCCAGGACUGUUUUGAACCCAUCAGCUGUAAUAGAGGAAAGUAAAACUGUGGAAGAGAUCGAUGAAGCAUUGAAGAUAGCAGGCCAAAAUUUUGAACAAUUAAGUAUUGCUGUAAAAAUGCUUGAACACAUACACAGUCAAACAAAAGAGGAGACAGUCUGUCUUAAAGAGGUUCUGGAGAAGCAGUUUGAUCAGCUUUUCACUUCUCUUGAUUCCAGGAAGAAGAGCCUGUGUGAAGAGUUAGUGAGAAAUACAGACAAUUAUUUAUCAAAAAUAAUAGUGACUAAAAGCUACAUUGAAGCAAAAAAAAGUGAUUUGGAUGCAGCUAUGAAGAUAGCAAGAGAAUUAAAAUCUGCACCUUCUCUAAGGAUAUAUUGUGACCUAAAUCAGAUUAUCCGGACUUUGAAGUUAACAUUUGAGAGUGACUUGUCACAAGUCAGCUCUCUAAAACUAAGGACGUCUCCCAAGUUGAAUAUGAAUUGCAGUGAGAUCAUCUGUAUGUUCAACAGUAUGGGAAAGAUUGAAUUUGAGAAUUCAACACGAUGUGAUCCUCAAGAAAGUGAAAUGGAAAAGAAUGGUCACAAGAAAUACAAUUGUAAAAAGGAAUUUUCUUACGGUGGUACAUACCUAUCACUAGAAAAGAAAAAGGCUGACAUUUCUGUCCUAACUAAUGAAGCCCCACUGACUUCUUCACAAUGGGAAAACAGUGACAUGGAUUUGGAAGCUGACUUCCAGCCACAGAAAGAGGUUGUUGCAGCAACACUCCCUAAAACCAUUGCUGCUCUACCUCAGGUGGGAUCUAGCCCUGAUGUGAUCAUUGAAGAAAUUAUUGAAGAAGAAGAAAACCUGGAAACAUGCUUCACAGAUUAUUUUGUUGAGACACCUAGAUAUCCAACAAAGCCUCUUCAGAAAAAGUCAUCUGUUUCUUUUGGAUCAAAAACAGGUUCUCCAGAGCUAGUUUUUGUAAGCCAUGUAAUACAUCCAUGCCACUUCUACAUUCGGAAGUACUCACAAAUAAAAGAUGCAACAGUAUUGGAAAGGAAGGUGAAUCAGUUUUGCAAUAAGAAUUUACACCUUGAUCCUUCAGAUGUUUUGGAGCUAGGUGCAAGAAUAUUUAUCAACAGUAUUGAAAAUGGAAUGUGGUGUCGAGGAACUAUUACUGAAUUAAUUCCAAUGGGAAGUGAAAGUAUUAGAAAACUUAGUAGUCCAACCAAAUUCUCAGUCCAUGAAGUUGCGCUAAUACAAAUAUUCAUGGUAGAUUUUGGAAAUUCUGAAGUGCUGAUUGUUGCAGGAGUUGGUGAUGCUCAUGUGAGAUCAGAGCACAUUGCUAAGCAGCAUGUCGUACUAAAUGACUUAUGCCUGGUUCUGAGAAAGUCUGAGCCAUAUAUCGAAGAACUGCUGAAAGAUGUCCAGCCACUAGCACAUCCAUGCUCAUUGAAAGACAUUGUUCCACAGAAUUCAAGUGAAGGCUGGGGAGAAGAAGCUAAAAUAGAAUUUUUGAAAAUGGUAAAUAAGAAGGCUGUUUUAAUGAAAGUUUUUAAAGAAGAAGAUGGUAUGCUUAUUGUAGAUCUGCAGAAACCACCAACAAAUAAAAUAAGCAGUGAUAUGCCUGUGUCUCUUAGAGAUGCAUUAGUUUUUAUGGAACUGGCAAGGUUUAGAUCUCAAACACCAAGAAGUCAUUCUGAAAAAAAUACGACCUUACACUAUCUUCCACCUAUUUUGCCUAAAGAAAUGACAGAUGUUUCAGUUAUGGUUUGUCAUAUUAAUAGUCCUUCUGAUUUCUAUCUUCAGUUGAUAGAGAGCCUGGAUUUUUUAUUUCUAUUAAAGGGAAUUGAGGAAUUCUAUAAAAGUGAAGAUGCAGAAAAUCUGGAAAUCCUCUGUCCAGUUCAAGAUCAAGCCUGUGUCGCUAAAUUUGAAGAUGGAGUUUGGUACCGAGCAAAAGUUAUUGGUUUGCCUGGACAUCGUGAAGUUGAAGUUAAAUAUGUGGACUUUGGCAAUACAGCAAAAAUAACACUUAAAAACAUGCGUAAGAUAAAGGAUGAAUUUCUGAAUCCUGCAGAGAAGGCAAUUAAAUGUAAGCUGGCCUAUAUUGAACCAUAUAAAGGGACAAUGCAGUGGUCAAAAAAUGCUAAAGAAAAAUUUGAAGAAAAGACUCAAGAUAAGUUCAUGACAUGUUCCAUCAUUAAAAUUCUGGAAGAUAAUGUGCUGUUAGUUGAACUUUUUGAUUUUCUUGGUGCUCCUGGAAUGAUUCCCACCAGUAUUAAUGACCAGCUAGUCAAAGAGGGCCUAGCAUCUUAUGAAGUAGGAUAUACCCUCAAAGAUAAUUCUAAAAAGCAUAUUGAAGUAUGGGAUCCUUCUCCAGAAGAAAUUAUUUCAAAUGAAGUAAACAACUUAAUAAAUCCUCUGUUUGCAAAAUCUCUACCUAGUGAGGAUCUGCAGUCACUUUAUAAUAAGGAACUGCCUGUGCACAUCUGCAAUAUAGUGUCUCCUGAGAAGAUCUAUGUUCAGUGGUUAUUAACAGAAAACUUGCUUCAUAGUUUAGGAGAAAAGAUGGUUGCUGCUUAUGAAAACUCAAAAUGGGAACCUGUUAAAUGGGAAAAUGAUAUGCACUGUGCUGUUAAUAUCCCAGAUAAAAAUCAGUGGCGAAGGGGCCAGAUCAUCAGAAUGGUUACAGACACAUUGGUAGAGGUCUUGCUGUAUGACGUGGGUGUUGAACUAGUAGUGAACAUUAACUGUUUAAGAGAACUUCAAGAAAACCUAAAGACAAUGGGAAGAUUAUCUUUGGAAUGCUCUCUUGUUGAUAUAAGACCAACAGGUGGGAGUGACAAGUGGACAGCAACAGCCUGUGACUGCCUCUCAUUGUACCUCACUGGAGCUGUAGCAACCAUUAUCAUACAGGAAAACAAUACAAUGUGGCCCUUACCUGUGAAAAUUUUCUGCAGAGAUGAAAAAGGAGAGCGUGUUGAUGUUUCUAAAUAUUUGAUUAAAAAGGGUUUGGCUUUGAGAGAAACAAGAAUUAAUAAAUUAGAUAACAGCCAUUCAUUAUCCCAGAAGUCUCUGGAAAUCCCCCAGGAACAAGGAGAAUCAGUGGUUACUAAGUAUGUUAAGAUUAACUCUGUCCCUGACAAGAAAGCUGCUGUUGGUGUCAGUGAACCCAAGGUGACUGAAUUUAGGGAGAAAAUUCUAGAGCCAAGAACUACUGGAUGCUAUAAACCACCAGCUAUUCCUAACCAGAAAGUAUUUGAGGCAGUAGUCAGCUGCAUUGGUGAUGAUGGAACUAUAUUUGUGGUACCUAAAUUAUCAGAAUUUGAACUAAGAAAAAUGAUGGAUGAAAUUCAAAGUAAUUUAAAAUGCCUUGGUCUUUUGGAACCUUAUUUCUGGAAAAAGGGAGAAGCUUGUGCAGUAAGGGGAUCAGAUACUAUGUGGUAUCGAGGCAAGGUAAUGGAAGUAACUGGCAGCACUAUCAGGGUACAAUAUUUAGAUCAUGGAUUCACUGAGAAGAUUCCACAGUGUCAUCUUUAUCCUAUUUUACUGUAUCCUGAUACACCCCAAUUUUGUAUUCCUUGUCAGCUCUAUAACACCGUACCUGUUGGGAAUGUCUGGCAACCAGAUGCAGUAGAACUCCUUCAGGAGCUGCUUUCAAAGAGAGAAGUGGAAAUUCACGUUAUGGAACUACCAGAAAAUCCAUGGGGGAAAUUACCUAUUCAUCUCUAUUUUGAUGGAAUGUCACUUUCUUACUUUUUGGCACACCAUAAAUAUUGUACUUUUGAACAAUCUGAGGAAAUACUGAAGGAAAAUCCAACAGAUUACAAUAAAAAGUAUGAGGAAGAGAGAUGGGAAAUAAGGUUUGAGGAUUUGCUUUUGCCUGAAACAGAGACUCCUAUUUUACCACCAUAUUUGUCUUCAUCUCUGCCUCCCCCUGAGGAACUCUAUGCUGUUCAAGUAAAGCACGUUGUCUCACCCAGUGAAGUAUAUAUUUGUCUUGAAUCUGUCGAAAGUUGUAGUUUGUUUAACCAGCACAGUGACACAGAAGACAGUGGAGUCGGCUGGGAAUCUGAGUCGGAGAGCCUAGAGGAGGCACUGCGGAGGUUCAAUAAGAAUAUGGAGACAUUCCCUCCUCUGACAGACUUCAGAACAGAAAUGCCUUGCCUUGCAGAAUAUGAUGAUGGCUUAUGGUAUAGAGCAAAGAUUGUUUCCAUUAAAGAAUUUAAUCCUCUAGCUGUCCUGGUGCAAUUUGUUGAUUAUGGAUCAACUGAAAAGCUGACAGUAAACAGACUGCGUCAAAUCCCUCUUCAUCUUAUGCAGUAUCCAGCUCGAGCCAUAAAGGUUCUCUUGGCAGGGUUUAAACCACCCUUGAGAGACGUAGGAAAGACAAGAAUACCAUAUUGUCCAAAGUGGAGCAUGGAAGCAUUGUGGGCCAUGAUAGACUGUCUACAAGGAAAACAGCUUUAUGCUUCUUCCAUGGCUCAGGUACCAGAACAAAUGGUGACUUUAUAUGAAGAUAAACAGUAUCCAAUUCAUAUGUCAUUAGUAGAAAUGGGGCUUGCAGACCGAGAUGAAUGAU
rnacentral:lncRNA from 1 species